GGGUUAGUAACUUAAUUGGUAAAGGACUUUCUUGUCGAGGAAGUAGAUGUCGGAUCGUCACCGGCCUAGCUCG